GCAUCUGUAGUGUAAUGGAUAGCACCAAAGAUUCCGGUUCUUUUAAUGGGGGUUCGAUUCCCUCCAGAUGCACUA
rnacentral:tRNA from 1 species